AUUGACGGGGGCCCGCACAAGCGGUGGAGCAUGUGGUUUAAUUCGAUGCAACGCGAAGAACCUUACCUACUCUUGACAUCCAGAGAACUUUCCAGAGAUGGAUUGGUGCCUUCGGGAACUCUGAGACAGGUGCUGCAUGGCUGUCGUCAGCUCGUGUUGUGAAAUGUUGGGUUAAGUCCCGCAACGAGCGCAACCCUUAUCCUUGUUUGCCAGCGAGUAAUGUCGGGAACUCCAGGGAGACUGCCGGUGAUAAACCGGAGGAAGGUGGGGACGACGUCAAGUCAUCAUGGCCCUUACGAGUAGGGCUACACACGUGCUACAAUGGCGCAUACAGAGGGCGGCCAACUUGCGAAAGUGAGCGAAUCCCAAAAAGUGCGUCGUAGUCCGGAUUGGAGUCUGCAACUCGACUCCAUGAAGUCGGAAUCGCUAGUAAUCGUGGAUCAGAAUGCCACGGUGAAUACGUUCCCGGGCCUUGUACACACCGCCCGUCACACCAUGGGAGUGGGCUGCAAAAGAAGUAGGUAGUUUAACCUUCGGGGGGACGCUUACCACUUUGUGGUUCAUGACUGGGGUGAAGUCGUAACAAGGUAGCGCUAGGGGAACCUGGCGCUGGAUCACCUCCUUAAACGAUGAU
rnacentral:rRNA from 1 species